AAUUUCCUACGGGGGGCAGCAGUGAGGAAUAUUGGUCAAUGGUCGGGAGACUGAACCAGCCACGCCGCGUGAGGGAGGAAGGUACAGAGUAUCGUAAACCUCUUUUGUCAGGGAACAAAGGCGGGGACGUGUCCCCGGAUGAGUGUACCUGAAGAAAAAGCAUCGGCUAACUCCGUGCCAGCAGCCGCGGUAAUACGGAGGAUGCGAGCGUUAUCCGGAUUUAUUGGGUUAAAAGGGUGCGCAGGCGGUCUGUUAAGUCAGCGGUCAAAGACCGGGGCUCAACCCCGGCCCGCCGUUGAAACUAG
rnacentral:rRNA from 1 species